rnacentral:tRNA from 1 species
GCGCCCGUAGCUCAGGGGACAGAGCGCCUGACUACGGAUCAGGAGGCCGUGGGUUCAAAUCCUACCGGGCGCACCA